rnacentral:lncRNA from 1 species
GUUUUUUUUUCCCCCUUCCUUUUCUUCCCAAGCCAAGGUUUGCGUUUUCUCUUCCCUUUCUUUUUGCUCCCCCCUUUCUCCCCAUUCCUAAUCUCCUUAACAACUUGAUUGGUAAAGCAGGCAGGGAACAAGUCAUCUCCACCGGAGGAACAAGAGCUAAUCUUCCUGUUCCUAAUAGGCGAGCCGCUCCUGCAUUUAAUAAAAGACGCUGACAGGGAAAUUCGAGAAUCCCUCAGCCCGCCAAUCAUUAGAAGAGCCAACGUCAAACUACAUUUCCCAGAAUCCCAUGCAUCCACGUCUUCCAGUCUUUUCUUACCUGCAAGGAAGUUGGUCUGAAUACCUAAUUACCUUCUUGUACACCACAGUGCCACCACAAGUGAGGAAAAACAAGGUGAGGAAAAUUCAUCUGGAGGUUUCAACCUUGUGUGUUCUGAAAGUCGAGAAAGCAAACCUCCAAGAGUCCAAGAAUUCCAGAGCCAAUGAGAGCUUUGGCAGCCAGUCAGCAUUGAUGCUCUGAAGAAUAAGGCACCCUUGGCUAAGAUAACAAAUGUUGGGGGGGAUGUGGAAAAAUGAGUGCACAAAUACAUUGUUGGUAUACCUGCAACCUGAUAACAACCAUUUUAGAAAGCAAUUUGGAAUUAUACCUAGAGAGUUAUAAAACUGU